GGUUGUGGCUCAGUGGUAGAGCGCUUGCCUUGUCUGUGUGAGGCCCUGGGUUCAAUUCUCAACACCA
rnacentral:tRNA from 1 species